rnacentral:rRNA from 1 species
UGACUGCUAUCGGAUUGAUACUAAGCCAUGCGAGUCAUUGUAGCAAUACAAGGCAUACGGCUCAGUAACGCGUAGUCGACCUAACCUAUGGACGGGAAUAACCUCGGGAAACUGAGAAUAAUGCCCGAUAGAACAUUAUGCCUGGAAUGGUUUAUGUUCCAAAUGAUUUAUCGCCGUAGGAUGGGACUGCGGCCUAUCAGUUUGUUGGUGAGGUAAUGGCCCACCAAGACUAUUACAGGUACGGGCUCUGAGAGGAGUAGCCCGGAGAUGGGUACUGAGACACGGACCCAGGCCCUAUGGGGCGCAGCAGGCGAGAAAACUUUGCAAUGUGCGAAAGCACGACAAGGUUAAUCCGAGUGGUUUCUGCUAAAGGAACCUUUUGUCAGUCCUAGAAACACUGAUGAAUAAGGGGUGGGCAAGUUCCGGUGUCAGCCGCCGCGGUAAAACCAGCACCUCAAGUGGUCAGGAUGAUUAUUGGGCCUAAAGCAUCCGUAGCCGGCUCUGUAAGUUUUCGGUUAAAUCUGUACGCUCAACGUACAGGCUGCCGGGAAUACUGCAAAGCUAGGGAGUGGGAGAAGUGGACGGUACUCGGUAGGAAGUGGUAAAAUGCUUUGAUCUAUCGACGACCCACUGUGGCGAAGGCGGUGU